rnacentral:lncRNA from 1 species
GUCAACUGUUUCCUGAAUGGUGGCCCUUGUUAACAUCUUAUAGCUCUAGUCAAGAUAGAGCAUUGUGUUCCUCUUGGCAGCCUGAGCAUAGGGAACAGCUCGAUACCAGUGCUGACAAAUCCACUCAGGCCACCAAGGCAAGGCUUGAACCACAGCUAAUCUGAGUCUUGGCAAAGCAUCCUGUGGUCAUGAGAGCCUGGGAGGCUUGUGAGCAGCUACUACAAGGCCAUUUCCCUCCCAGCUCCCUGUCUUUCAAGGAGACUGUUAGGAGGCCAUUUCUUAUUGCUUCCUGGGUUCUAGUGAGGCUUCUAUCUCACCCCCUAACAGUACAGUGGUAGGCUGUUAAAUGUUUAGCUGCAACAGCAUUUGCCCUUCAGCAACAAAGUUUCCAUAACUCAUUUUGCCCCCUUUAUUUUGCUGUCAUCAUUUGAGUUCAUGAGACAGAAGCUCAGGGAGGACUGGCACCUUUGACUACUUUUGCUUCCAUUGUCUAUAUAAUAAUCUAAGUCUAAAAAUGCUCAUUUCUUUACCACUAAAUCUUUUAACCUUGCCAGGUCUUGAUACGAAACAUCUCAUCCAUUCAUUAAUGAUAAAUCAAACAAACAAAAAAGACAGAUACUACCUGGUUGCCAGAGAGUUAGAAAUAAAAUGAGUUAUGAUUCUUUCUUUGAACAUGACCAUCUUGUUCAGGAGAUAGACAAGAAAACAAAUAUCUACAAGGCAGUGUAGAAGUGUGACAAUAGAGAAGAACAGAAUACCACCAGGGGUGCUUUCAUAUGAGUUAUUAUGCCCAGAAAAGGCAGACACCCCGAGAUAGUGGAGGGGAAACAAGAAAAGUUUUCCCAUUGUUAGGAAAGCACAGACCUUCUGGUUUGGUGUUAUCAGAUUCUACCCAAGACAAUCUUUCAUUGGCUUUUCUCUAAAAAUUAAUUUGGAACUCUCAAUCUUUCAUCUGGGCAUUUGAAGUACUCUUGUGGUGGAGAAACCAAACCUGAUUAUAAAUGGAAUUAUAUGAACAUUAUAAAAAAGAAUCAGUGCCUGGGGAAAGGGUUAAUUUCUCCCCCAACCCUAAGCCAGCUUCUCUGCAGGGAACCUAAUUAACCUUGGGUCCCUAUCUAUUGGGUUGUAAAUAGCUAUCAUAGGAAGCCUGAGGACUCUCUCUUGAUAUGUAAACAUCCCUGUGACAAUCUUCAAGACCAGAGACAAUGGAUACCUGUGAAGUUUCUUCUUAAGCUUUGUAAACCUUUUAGGAGUGUAGCUACAUCAAUUAAUUACUAUUAUAAAUUAAUUUAUAAUAGUAUAAAUUUAUAAAUUUUAAGUCACCAUGACAGUUAACUGCUGUCUAAACUGUAACUUUAGUUUUUAGAAAUAUAGCUCUUGGGCUGGGAUUGUGGCUCAGUGGUGGAGCACUCCCCUAGCAUGGGCGGGACCUGGGUUUGAUCCUCAGCACCACAUAAAAAAAAUAAAGGCAUUGUGUUGUGUCCAUCUACACCUAAAAAAUAAAUAUUUUAAAAAAGAGAAUACCCUGGAAAAAUAGGGUCCUCUUUUAAAAUAUCUAUAUCUAUAUCUAUCUUAGGGAGAUAAACUCAAGUCAUCUUUAGUUAUUGUGGCCUGUGGAAAAGGACACUUCAUGAUAACACAAAUGUUUUACUGUCUCUGUCCUGCACCUGUGAACUACUUAUUGUAAAAUUUCUGCAUAAGAUCCUUCAUCAUGAAAGUCAAGAAUUAUAACCUACCAUUGUUGUAAUGGUUAAGGAAUGAUGCCGAAUUUCCUAUAAAGAACCCAUGUGACCUAGCUCAAGGCCCAGAACUUCAGAGCACUAGGUCAUCUGGGUCCAAUGGGACAUAAAUAAGCCUGGGUUCUCCAACCCUCCUAGUUGUGCUUGGUCUUUUGCUGAGUGCAGUUUCCAUAACAGUCUUCCAUUUGAGCCAAUAAGUGCAGUGAUGCCAGGAAUCUUUGGAUUACAAGUGAUUUGAAAACCCAACACUGGCAGACAUUAGCUUCCCACAUAAAGCCCACCUCCUUACUUCUAGGACACCCUGAUAUUUUGGAUUUAUGCAGGCAGGCAAUAAUAUGCCCAGCCAUAGGCAACAACUGUGAUUAAGCUAAGAUAUUCGUAACCAUCCUUUUUCCUUUUGCUUUUCCACUUUGCCUUCCUGGCAGCUAAGAACAGCCAUAUUAUUUAGUUCUAGUCAAUGAAAUGUAUGAGGAAGUAGUUCUCUUCUUCCUAAAAAGUUAUCCAAUUCAUUUAAGCUGUCAAAGUUGUUGGUAUAAAGUUGUUCACAUUUCCUUAACAUCCUUUUAAUGUCUGUAAGACCAAUAGUGUGCCCCCUCAUUUGUUCCUGAAAUUGGUGAUUUCUGUAGUUUCUGGUUUCCCUUUCUUGAUCAGCUUUGCUUAAGAUUUAUGAACUUUAUCGGUCUUUAUAGAAUUAGCUUUUAGCUUUGUUUGUUUUCUUUGUGGAAUUUUGCUCUUUUAAAAAGAUAACAUACAGAAAAUUUGGGGUGUGUGUGUGUUUGGCAUCUAGUUCUAUGAGUUUUAAGACAUACAUAGAAUUAUGAAACUAUCAAUGAUACAAAAUAGUUUCAUCUCUAUAAAACUCUAGAAAGGAUAUCUGCUUAGGGUAUUCACACCUUUCCUAUAUCCCUAACCCAUGCCAGCCAUUGAUUUGCUAUCUAUCACAAUAGUUUUGACUUGUCCAGAUGUAAUAGAAAUGGAAUCAUAAAGUAUGAAAUCUCUUAAGACUAGUUUCUUUUAUUCAGCACAGUGCUUUUGAGAAUUAACUUUAUUGUAUGAAUCAACAUUUUAUUGCUGAUUACUAUCUACUUAUAUGUACCAAAGUUGCUUAUCCAUUCAACCCCAGAAGGACUUUUAGGUCAUUUCUGGAUUUUUGCAAUUAUGAAUAAAG